GGAGGAAAGCAGGGGAUCGCAAGACCUUGCGCUUUUGGAGCGGCCGAUGUCUGAUUAGCUAGUUGGUGAGGUAAAGGCUUACCAAGGCGUCGAUCAGUAGCUGGUCUGAGAGGACGACCAGCCACACUGGGACUGAGACACGGCCCAGACUCCUACGGGAGGCAGCAGUGGGGAAUUUUGGACAAUGGGGGAAACCCUGAUCCAGCCAUGCCGCGUGAGUGAAGAAGGCCUUCGGGUUGUAAAGCUCCUUCAGCCGGAACGAAACGGUCACGGUUAAUACCCGUGACUACUGACGGUACCGGAAGAAGAAGCACCGGCUAACUACGUGCCAGCAGCCGCGGUAAUACGUAGGGUGCGAGCGUUAAUCGGAAUUACUGGGCGUAAAGCGUGCGCAGGCGGUUUUGUAAGUCAGAUGUGAAAUCCCCGGGCUUAACCUGGGAACUGCGUUUGAAACUACAAGGCUAG
rnacentral:rRNA from 1 species